CAGCAUCCAAGGAGCAGGAGAAUCGACGUUUCGGGCAUGAGCCCUUCAGAAAUGAGGAAAGUGUUGACAGAUUAACUAUGCCUUUUCCUCUGUGUGGCUUUUGAGCAUGUGUUUGAGAAGCUAUGUCAUUGUGAAGUCAGAACACAUGGAACUGGAGCCUGAAUCUGUAGGAUCCUAGGUGAUUUUCUGCUUUACCAUCCCUUGUACAUGGUUAUAUUUUGUUAAUAUUGAUGUUAAUUACAAGAAUCAAGACCUGUAUUUUUCACUGCAGGAUCUAAAGAGAGUAAAAGAUCAGAAAUCAGAUUCAAGUGGAAAGAGAAUUCUGAAGUCGGGAGAAAAUCUUUGGUGGGGAAAAUCUUGAUUAAAAAUCAGGAUGUGGAAAUGAAGGCGACAGAAGAAAUUCCAAGUGUUGUUCAGAGCUAAGCAUUUUGAGGGACUUCAUAGAAUGUCCCCAGAAAGCCAUUCUUUAUGAGCCGGAAUAAAGAUGAAGGAGGUAAAACUACGUUGUGUCUCUGCGUGUUUUGCUUCAACUGAGGGGGGAAACGGGAUGACACAAUAUUGGCAUAGCUGGCAGCAUCAAAACGGAUAGUUAUGAUUGGACGGUGUCAGCAGCCGUCUGCAACAUCGCCGUCUCGACAGGACGGGCCCACAAGAGUUUCUCCAGAGUUUCUCCAUUCACAGGUAAAGCACGCCCUUGGACCACCACCCACCCAUCCACAGCCUGAUCUAACGGAUUCAAUCAGUCAUGAGCACGAAAAGUGAAGAAGUUAACAACAGUGAACAGUGAAGUGUCAGUGGCCUUCCUAUGAACAUUAAACCAUGUGAGCUUUACCUUUUCUUUCGAUCAUUUAAGGAAUAUGAAGAUACACUGAUCAAGCUAACAUCAAAACAGUCAGUUGGCUUUGUUACAUUUAAUGGUAGAACAGAAGCAGAAGCAGCAAAGAAUGCUGCAUUCACCUGGCCUGCUGCUGCAACUGCUGCACUGCACACUCAGAUGCGCUGAUAUCUUCCAUUUGAAGCAUUUCCGGAAGGAUGGAAGUCUCGUCAGUUUUGUUAAGUAUUUAACUGCCAUUAUGCAAGAAAUCAGAUUUCUCCGUGAAGUGAUGCACAAGGACACACUGAAUUUUGUUUUGAGAUUGGACUUUACUAAAGGAGAUUUUGGAGAACUGGCUCAUUUCCACUCUACUUGGAAGGGAUGGAGUGGUCAGUAAGGACUGGGAAUUUAAGAACGUUACUGGUGAAUUUUUUUCCCACAUGGGGGUAGGAUUCAAAUUCUAUUUACUGUAACAGACUAGUAUUUUUGUUGUUAUAAUCAUUGUGUGCUGUGUGUCAAUAACUUGCUUAAAUAAUGGCUGUCAGUCUUUGAAACUUGGUAGUGCCAUUCAUUAUCAUGAAAUGAUAAAAGGAGGGAAUGAGAAUGUGUAUAGGGUAUAAGUAGGCAGGGAAAGAGUUAAGUUCUGAA